rnacentral:rRNA from 1 species
CUACGAGGGGUGCAAGCGUUAAUCGGAAUUACUGGGCGUAAAGCGUUCGUAGGCGGUUUGUUAAGCAAGAUGUGAAAGCCCAGGGCUCAACCUUGGAACUGCAUUUUGAACUGGCAGACUAGAGUACUGUAGAGGGUGGUGGAAUUUCCAGUGUAGCGGUGAAAUGCGUAGAGAUUGGAAGGAACAUCAGUGGCGAAGGCGGCCACCUGGACAGAUACUGACGCUGAGGAACGAAAGCGUGGGGAGCAAACAGGAUUAGAUACCCUAGUAGUCC